rnacentral:rRNA from 1 species
UAAAAAAAGGUAAGCUACUAAGAGCGAAUGGUGGAUGCCUUGACUGGUAAAGGCGAUGAAGGACGUACUAGACUGCGAUAAGCUACGGGGAGCUGUCAAGAAGCUUUGAUCCGUAGAUUUCCGAAUGGGGCAACCCAAUGUAUAGAGAUAUACAUUACCUAUAUAGGAGCGAACGAGGGGAAUUGAAACAUCUUAGUACCCUCAGGAAAAGAAAUCAAUAGAGAUUGCGUCAGUAGCGGCGAGCGAAAGCGCAAGAGGGCAAACCCAGUGCUUGCACUGGGGGUUGUAGGACUGCAAUGUGCAAGAGGUAAGUUUAGCAGAACAUUCUGGAAAGUAUAACCAUAGAGGGUGAUAGUCCCGUAUGCGAAAAACAAACCUUAGCUAGCAGUAUCCUGAGUAGGGCGGGACACGAGGAAUCCUGUCUGAAUCCGGGUCGACCACGAUCCAACCCUAAAUACUAAUACCAGAUCGAUAGUGCACAAGUACCGUGAGGGAAAGGUGAAAAGAACUGAGGUGAUCAGAGUGAAAUAGAACCUGAAACCAUUUGCUUACAAUCAUUCAGAGCCCUAUGUAGCAAUACAGGGUGAUGGACUGCCUUUUGCAUAAUGAGCCUGCGAGUUGUGGUGUCUGGCAAGGUUAAGCAAACGCGAAGCCGUAGCGAAAGCGAGUCUGAAUAGGGCGCUUAGUCAGAUGCUGCAGACCCGAAACGAAGUGAUCUAUCCAUGAGCAAGUUGAAGCUAGUGUAAGAACUAGUGGAGGACUGAACCCAUAGGCGUUGAAAAGCCCCGGGAUGACUUGUGGAUAGGGGUGAAAGGCCAAUCAAACUUCGUGAUAGCUGGUUCUCUCCGAAAUAUAUUUAGGUAUAGCGUUGUGUCGUAAUAUAAGGGGGUAGAGCACUGAAUGGGCUAGGGCAUACACCAAUGUACCAAACCCUAUCAAACUCCGAAUACCUUAUAUGUAAUCACAGCAGUCAGGCGGCGAGUGAUAAAAUCCGUCGUCAAGAGGGAAACAACCCAGACUACCAGCUAAGGUCCCUAAAUCUUACUUAAGUGGAAAACGAUGUGAAGUUACUUAAACAACCAGGAGGUUGGCUUAGAAGCAGCCAUCCUUUAAAGAAAGCGUAAUAGCUCACUGGUCUAGUGAUUUUGCGCGGAAAAUAUAACGGGGCUAAAGUAAGUACCGAAGCUGUAGACUUAGUUUACUAAGUGGUAGGAGAGCGUUCUAUUUGCGUCGAAGGUAUACCGGUAAGGAGUGCUGGAGCGAAUAGAAG